CGCGUCCAUCUCCAUGGACGCUAGACUGGGGCAACGCCUGCGGGGUGCUGCCAUCCCUCUGCUCUGUAAAGCUGGUUCAUGUUGAGGCCACCAGGACAUCUGACCCGCUCAGACUGCCAGGAGCUUCCGGCGCUGGCAGUGUCCCAAAUAUUAAAAACAACAGUGGACAAUAGCGUACCAGAUUCUGAUGACUCCUUAUUUUAUGAGGAAUAUCAGGGGUUGGGUUCUGUUUAUCUCUACUAUCUGUCUGCACCAACAGUUUGAAUGAACAGGACCCUGAUCCAGCCAUAUGAGGAGAGAGCGGAGACCAAGGAGACCAACAGGCCAGGAAGAUGUCUCUAUUCUAAAUGAGUCUUGAAGUGGAAAGUUCUGGUUUCCUUGGAAAGUUAUGCCAAGCAAUGUUUUGCUGGGGCACAAAGGUGAAAGGAUGUCUCGCUAAAGCAAACACAUGAAAGACUGUUUUCCUGAAGCAGACACAGGUGAAAGGGUGUUUGGAUAGAGCAAACUCAUGAAAGGACCUGUGAUGAAGGAGUAGAAAUAUGACCCCGCUGACAGUGGGAGACGAGCACAGAGCACUGGUUUGAUUUGCUCCACCUCAAUAUUCUUCUCUAACAACGCUCAUGUAUUGGUUCGCCUUACCUUGAGCUCAACUCUGAUACUGAGAGAAACUCAACAAAGAAACUGCUCAUAAGGUUCCUAUGGUAGCUUGCUGCGUCUAAGGCCUCUCCUCAGGCCGGUUGACAAGCCUGGCAACUUCUCCAGGAUUGAACUACAGUUGCUGGUUCGUGAUUGGUGUCUGCCUGCCAAGAGGACUGGAAUGUAGUUGUUGGUUCAUGGUUGGUGUCUGCCUGCCUAGAGGACUGGUCUGAAGCUGCUGAGUUGUAUUUGGUAUUUGCUAUGGGACUGAUCUGCUGACCAAGAAGAUCAAGCUCACCUCCAAAAAACUAUCGUUGAACAGGUCCACUUCCCCCCAUCCUAGUAACGUGUCUCUUCCACUACCUCUGCUGGGGGUUGGGCUAGAGGAGAGGUUGAACUCUUUUUAAAAGUAGGUUGCAAAAAAAUUAUGCUACAGAAUUCAUGUUCCUAGUUAUGCCUAUUUUACCUUGUAAGAUCCUGCAUUUGAAUGUAUGUUACAUUACAUCAUACUAUACUACACAGAGCUAUAUAGGCCACCAUGAGCCUCUUGAGGCUAGACACUUUAAGAUGGUUUUUCCUCUUUGUGUUACUUCUCUGAGAUAGUAUUUGAAUGUUUGCUGAAAGACUGAAAUGAAUCCGUUUCGAGUAUAUUGCUUUAUGUUCAAAUGCCUUCCACUGAUGUAAAGGUUUUUGGUUGUGUAAAAAAAUCAAAUUAUUAAUACU
ensembl:processed_transcript A430108G06Rik RIKEN cDNA A430108G06 gene